UCUGUCAUCAGAUGAGUCUGCGUACCAUUAGCUAGUUGGUAGGGUAAUGGCCUACCAAGGCUACGAUGGUUAGCUGGUUUGAGAGAAUGAUCAGCCACACUGGAACUGAGACACGGUCCAGACUCCUACGGGAGGCAGCAGUGGGGAAUUUUGCGCAAUGGGCGAAAGCCUGACGCAGCAACGCCGCGUGAGUGAUGAAGGCUUUCGGGUCGUAAAGCUCUGUCGAGGGGAAAGAAGUGUACGGAGGCCAAUACCCUCUUUACUUGACGGUACCCCUAAAGGAAGCACCGGCUAACUCCGUGCCAGCAGCCGCGGUAAUACGGGGGGUGCAAGCGUUGUUCGGAAUUAUUGGGCGUAAAGAGCGUGUAGGCGGUUUGUUAAGUCUGAUGUGAAAGCCCUGGGCUCAACCCAGGAAGUGCAUUGGAAACUGGCAGACUUGAAUACGGGAGAGGGCAGUGGAAUUCCUAGUGUAGGAGUGAAAUCCGUAGAUAUUAGGAGGAACACCGGUGGCGAAGGCGGCUGCCUGGACCGAUAUUGACGCUGAGACGCGAAAGCGUGGGUAGCAAACAGGAUUAGAUACCCUGGUAGUCCACGCCGUAAACGAUGAGAACUAGGUGUUGCGGGUAUUGACCCCUGCAGUGCCGCAGCUAACGCAUUAAGUUCUCCGCCUGGGAAGUACGGUCGCAAGACUAAAACUCAAAGGAAUUGACGG
rnacentral:rRNA from 1 species